rnacentral:rRNA from 1 species
AUUGAACGCUGGCGGCAGGCUUAACACAUGCAAGUCGAGCGAGAUGAGGUGCUUGCACCUUAUCUUAGCGGCGGACGGGUGAGUAAUGCUUAGGAAUCUGCCUAUUAGUGGGGGGACAACAUUCCGAAAGGAAUGCUAAUACCGCAUACGGUCCUACGGGAGAAAAGACAGGGGAUCUUCGGACCUUGCGCUAAUAGAUGAGCCUAAGUCGGAUUAGCUAGUUGGUGGGGUAAAGGCCUACCAAGGCGACGAUCUGUAGCGGGGUCUGAGAGGAUGAUCCGCCACACUGGGACUGAGACACGGCCCAGACUCCUACGGGAGGCAGCAGUGGGGAAUAUUGGACAAUGGGGGGAACCCUGAUCCAGCCAUGCCGCGUGUGUGAAGAAGGCCUUAUGGUUGUAAAGCACUUUAAGCGAGGAGGAGGCUACUGAGACUAAUACUCUUGGAUAGUGGACGUUACUCGCAGAAUAAGCACCGGCUAACUCUGUG